GAUGAACGCUGGCGGCGUGCUUAACACAUGCAAGCCGAACGGAAAGGCCCAAGCUUGCUUGGGUACUCGAGUGGCGAACGGGUGAGUAACACGUGGGUGAUCUGCCCUGCACUUCGGGAUAAGCCUGGGAAACUGGGUCUAAUACCGGAUAGGACGAUGGUUUGGAUGCCAUUGUGGAAAGUUUUUUCGGUGUGGGAUGAGCUCGCGGCCUAUCAGCUUGUUGGUGGGGUAAUGGCCUACCAAGGCGUCGACGGGUAGCCGGCCUGAGAGGGUGUACGGCCACAUUGGGACUGAGAUACGGCCCAGACUCCUACGGGAGGCAGCAGUGGGGAAUAUUGCACAAUGGGCGCAAGCCUGAUGCAGCGACGCCGCGUGGGGGAUGACGGCCUUCGGGUUGUAAACUCCUUUCGCUAGGGACGAAGCGUUUUUGUGACGGUACCUGGAGAAGAAGCACCGGCUAACUACGUG
rnacentral:rRNA from 1 species